CAUAAGUUUAUAUAUUUUAGAAAUUAACCCCUUAUCAUUGAUAACUACAUUCUCUCAUUGAAUUUAUGUUUUUUCUCAAAUUUAAUUUAAAAGUUAAGGUUCAAUGAAAUGGUUCUUCUUGACAGUGGAAGUCUCAGUGCCAUCUAAUCUAUUUUCAUUUAUUUGACCAAAAUUAAUUUAGAAUUAUACAUAUAUGAUGUAUUAUAUUCUUUGUUUUUAGUAGAUAAUACUAAAAUAAAAGACUGUAGAAGAUGAUUUUAGAUUCUUGCUUAUAGCUGUGUUGAAGUUAAGUGGUUUCUUUUUAACCUGCUUUUUUGGUUCUAUGUAUGGGGUGUUUUAAACCAUAUCACACAAUAAAAAAAAAUGUAAACGGAUCGAGUUUACCAAGUAAAUGCUAUUAAGUGGUACUGCAUAUUAUAGCAAGUGGAUUCUUUGGAUGGCUUUCAUUUUUAAAAUUAUUUGCCAACAAAACUUUGUGGCUGUAACCCAUAACAAACCCUUGAUCUUCAUGAAACCCUAACAAGGUAAGUCGCUAUUAUUCCCAAUUAUAGAAAGGAGAGGUGCAGAAUGUAAGUGCAGGAUUCAAAGCAAAUAAACUAUGUAGCUUGUUAUUUCAGUGAUGAUGAAUUCAAGUUAAAUAAUACACUGUAUUUUAAGAUGCCUAUAAAAAAUAAUAAGCCUGACUCCAUGACAGAAAGGUACAUUGUUACAGAGUUCGCCAAUAACUUGGCCUAGACCCAAAAUGUUAAAGAAUUGCUCAAUUCUGACCAAUAUUUUAUGGUCAGUUACCAAUAGUUCUCCUGUAGCCUUUUGUAAUAAUUCAACCAUUUAUUGGACAAGCAUUUAUUAGGUUCUACGGUAAGUAUGCCAGUCUCCGUGCAAGGCAGAGGAUACAGUGAUGACACAAAGACUGAUAUCCAACUGGAGAAGACAAAUUAUGAGAAAG